CAGUCGCCGCGGGAAAACGUAGGUGGCAAGCGUUGUCCGGAAUUAUUGGGCGUAAAGGGCUCGCAGGCGGUUUCUUAAGUCUGAUGUGAAAGCCCCCGGCUCAACCGGGGAGGGUCAUUGGAAACUGGGAACCUUGAGUGCAGAAGAGGAUAGUGGAAUUCCACGUGUAGCGGUGAAAUGCGUAGAGAUGUGGAGGAACACCAGUGGCGAAGGCGACUCUCUGGUCUGUAACUGACGCUGAGGAGCGAAAGCGUGGGGAGCGAACAGGAUUAGAUACCCCAGUAGUCCCUGUCUUUUAUAC
rnacentral:rRNA from 1 species